AAUGAGCAAGAUUUUCCUUUUCUGGGUUGGUUUUUUGUUUCUCUCCUGUUUCCCCUUCCUCUCCAAGAUGCCAUAAAGAUAGCACAAGAUGGAAAGAGAGCAAGGGAAAAGCUGAAUGAUUGAGUAUGAAUGUCAUGGACAAGCAACAAUUCAGAGCAAGGAAUGACCCAUCUGAGAUUGGAAAUGGGUUUCAAGCCCUCAAUUCUUGAGGUUCAAUAAACCAGAAAAGGAAAACUGCACCCUAGUUUUCCGGGACAAGUUAUCAAAUUCUAGAGAUGUUCGUGGUCCAUGAUCCAUCAGCACAUGGUAAAAGGUAAAUCUUGAAAUAAAACUCUUCCUCCUAAUGAUUUUGCAGUAUCGGUUGGCCAAAAACUUUGCUUAACCAAGUGCAGCAUAAAGCUUAAGGCAUGACAAGAAAAAUAGUCUUAUCUAAUCUGGACAUUAGCAAUAUAGCCAAAUAAAUCACCCAUGCUUCGGAUCAUUUGUUGAAAAUGAUAUGCCUCCAGCUUUUUCCUACAAAGUCCACGUGCUGGGAACUGCGAGCCUGUGUUCCAACAAUCAUGUGUCUUCUGAUGUGGAUUUACAAAAAAAAUGUAUAUGCCACUCAAAUCUUCAUUAAAGCUACGGCUUAGCUUAUUGAACACCAACUAUAUGAGGUAACAUGUCAAUGAGAGAGCAGAAAAAUGUCUAUGCAAAGGCCUUCACGAUUCAGAUCUCAGAACAUUCUGUACUACAGUACAUACAUCUCAAAGCUGUCAUAAAUGGAAAUUAAUAUAUUGAAAAAGAGGAUAGAACAUAUAGAACAGCAAAUAUACCGGGGCAAAGACAAACAAAUCAUGCAUUUUCGCAAGUUAUUAGCAACUUUGUUCUUUUAAUAUUGUUCCUGCUGGUGGUGUCGAUGUUCAGCGUCAACCAGCCAAACAUUCAGAUUAGUACCUCUCGCAAUUUAUAAAUUUCUCCAAAAUGCUUGGAAUUUAGGAGAUAAAAGAAGUCCUUUGCUCAGAAAGGUAGGUUUUGCAGAUUAUUUUUCUUAAACGGGGGCCAAAUUCAUCAUAUAGAGCUUUCCAGAAAUUCUCUCUCAGGUGAUUGUUAGAACUAUGACCAGAAAACUUAUGCAGGCGUUGUCAUGUAUGAACAUCAAGCGGCUAACUUGCAUAUUUUGCAUGAACUUCUCAUGAGUACCGAAUCUAUCAGUCAUUUUAAUCAGCGUGAACCUCCUAGAAAGUUAUGAAUUAACUAAGGUAAAAGAAGCUUGACAUACCACGAGACAAUUCCUCCCCGACGGGACAAGAUAUACUAAUUAAUAAUCUAUCUUCUUUCCUCCUCCUCAGAAGUUAGCCAACACAUUGUUCGAAUUCUCUUUGGUCUAGGACAUAACACACAGAUACCUGUUUCCACUAGGGCGUUCGCAAGAUGAUAAUUUUUAAGAUUUAUUUACAAACAUCCACUAAAUCGAUGCAUAUUAACUAUAUCAUAAGUUGGCUGCUGUGUCUUUUCCAUAUGUACUAGAGAGAAUAUAUUCACAUCAAGGAGAGACAAAAGUUUGGAGCUUUAUCAUUCGAACCAGUCCAGAGAUGCCUUCAAAACAAAAAUAAAGUGCAGCUUUUGAUUUCGAAAGAAGCAUUUCUGAGGCAUAAUGGAGAAGAGAACAGAUGCACGACAACACUCUUUGUGUGAGUAUCAUCUAAGCAAGCUCCAAAAAGCGUUUACUAAUCUCCCCAGAACUAAUGCCUGAAGAAUCUAAUUGUACAUAUCUUCAUCAAGCGAAAAGCAUCCUGUAAUUCCAUCAUGCUUGAGAACUAUAAAGAACAGCAGCACACACUUACCCACCAACGUCUGCAAAGCUAGGUUCAAAAGGAAACAGUUUCUUGUCCAUGGGCCGAUCUUAUCAAAAUGACACACGACAUGUCGAACCGUUUGAGGAAAACCGCCAUCCUGCCAUAUCCGUAACUGGGCGGAGACAUGCAUUCUGACC